rnacentral:rRNA from 1 species
AAUCCUGGCUCAGGAUGAACGCUGGCGGCGUGCCUAACACAUGCAAGUCGAACGAAGCUUGACGGAUGAUUUCUUCGGAAUGAAACCAGAUAUGACUUAGUGGCGGACGGGUGAGUAACACGUGAGCAACCUGCCUUUCAGAGGGGGAUAACGGCUGGAAACGGUCGCUAAUACCGCAUGAUGUGUUCGGAUGGCAUCAUCUGAACAUCAAAGAUUUAUCGCUGAAAGAUAGG